AAAAUCUAAUUUUUAGUACUCAUUGUUGAAAGGAAAAAUCAUUGAAUAACUGGUGUCUAUGAAUGGAAAUUCCAAAUUCUCGCUUUCCAACAUUUUAUAAAGAAGAAUCUGCUUCGCUGAUGAUGCCAAACGGGUGUGAAUACUAUCAAAUAUCUAACAUCAAUCCCAAUUAAGCUGAGUUGGACAGCUGAAAAACUAACUUAACUGUGGGUGUUUUUUGUCAGAUUUACUGGAUCCCUAAACAAAUGAAAACAAAGGUAACAAAAAUUGAUAUCUUACUUGAAUGAUAUCUUACUUCAAUCAUCAAAUAACUCAAUACCCGGAAGAAAGCUCAUCGAUGACUCUUGCAUAGUUGUUCGACAGCUAACCGAUCGUUUUUUAACUUCAUGUUGAUAGCUCGUAAGUAGGUAAACAUAUAUUCGUAAUAGAUCGUAGAUGCCCGUCGACUGUAAGUCGAUAGCUUGUCAGUGAGUGGAAAAUAUCUCAGCGAUAGCAUGUCGGUAGCACGUUUAAAGCUCAUCGGUACACAGAGAAAAAAAUUAACCUUAUACAAGGUUAGAUUAACCAUAAAUAAACAUGAUUUGGAGUCUACGUUAUGUAAGGUUAAUUUAAACAUUUUCUUGUUGACUGGUAUUUAAAAAUAAUCAUCGUUAAUUUAGCUAUUCCAUGAUUGACUUUUUUAACCACGAAAAUUGUUGAUAUUGAAAAAAAAUUGUUGUUUUAACAAUGCACUGUUAAAUUUUUGUAAUCAUGAGAAUUGUUAAUAAUAACAUUUCAUAGUCAG